AUGCGCUCCAUCGAAGGACGCAACAUCCUCCGUCAUCACUCACCCAUCACGUACUGUCACCGCCAUGUGCUGCGUCGCAGCAUUCGCCGCUGUCGCCGCGCGCUGCAUAGCAGCAACCGCUGUCGCCGCCGCAUGCUGCGUCAUCGCCGGCGCGCGCUGUGUCACCGGGCUCCACCGAUGCUGCAAUGGUGGCUGCCGCUGGCGCUCUCCCGGCGAGGUGCUCGACGUGGCAAUGCAACACACAGGUUUGCUGCCUUAUUCGAAAAGGCUCCGGUUCUGCAACUGGCCGACGGCGAGGUACCCGGCGUGCUACGAUGCAACUUUUUGAUGUUGCUGCGAUCCGGCCGUGUCCUUUUGAAGCAGCGAGUAAGCAUCGCUCAGGUGCUGCUCCUACGGGUCGAAUCGGGGGGCGUGUCAAUCUUCGUCGGAGAGCAAGUAUCUGGUGCUGCUGGCCUGCUGCUGCAGAGUGAGUCGGCCGGCGAUGGUCUUUGCACAUCUGUGCGCUGUGGCGAUGCGAGGAGAACGAAGCAGUGUAUUUCUGUUUCUGCGUUGAUUGAAUCAGAUGGCUACGUGCAUCCAGAUCUUGGCGUAUCAGACGGCUACCAACCCGACUGA
rnacentral:rRNA from 1 species